rfam:Stegodyphus mimosarum contig117584, whole genome shotgun sequence.
GCCUUCGUGGUGUAGUGGUCAGCACGCUCGGCGCGUAUUCGAGAGGUCCGUGGUUCGAAUCCUGGGGAAGGCA